GGGGGAUAUUGCGCAAUGGGGGCAACCCUGACGCAGCAACGCCGCGUGAAGGAUGAAGGUUUUCGGAUUGUAAACUUCUUUUAUUAAGGACGAAAAAUGACGGUACUUAAUGAAUAAGCUCCGGCUAACUACGUGCCAGCAGCCGCGGUAAUACGUAGGGAGCAAGCGUUGUCCGGAUUUACUGGGUGUAAAGGGUGCGUAGGCGGCUUUGCAAGUCAGAUGUGAAAUCUAUGGGCUCAACCCAUAAACUGCAUUUGAAACUGUAGAGCUUGAGUGAAGUAGAGGCAGGCGGAAUUCCCCGUGUAGCGGUGAAAUGCGUAGAGAUGGGGAGGAACACCAGUGGCGAAGGCGGCCUGCUGGGCUUUAACUGACGCUGAGGCACGAAAGCGUGGGUAGCAAACAGGAUUAGAUACCCUGGUAGUCCACGCUGUAAACGAUGAUUACUAGGUGUGGGGGGUCUGACCCCUUCCGUGCCGGAGUUAACACAAUAAGUAAUCCACCUGGGGAGUACGGCCGCAAGGUUGAAACUCAAAGGAAUUGACGGGGGCCCGCACAAGCAGUGGAGUAUGUGGUUUAAUUCGAAGCAACGCGAAGAACCUUACCAGGUCUUGACAUCCAACUAACGAAGUAGAGAUACAUUAGGUGCCCUUCGGGGAAAGUUGAGACAGGUGGUGCAUGGUUGUCGUCAGCUCGUGUCGUGAGAUGUUGGGUUAAGUCCCGCAACGAGCGCAACCCUUGCUAUUAGUUGCUACGCAAGAGCACUCUAAUAGGACUGCCGUUGACAAAACGGAGGAAGGUGGGGACGACGUCAAAUCAUCAUGCCCCUUAUGACCUGGGCUACACACGUACUACAAUGGAUGUUAACAGAGGGAAGCAAGACAGCGAUGUGGAGCAAACCCCUAAAAACAUUCUCAGCUCAGAUUGCAGGCUGCAACCCGCCUGCAUGAAGAUGGAAUUGCUAGUAAUCGCGGAUCAGCAUGCCGCGGUGAAUACGUUCCCG
rnacentral:rRNA from 1 species